rnacentral:rRNA from 1 species
AACGCUGGCGGCGUGCUUAACACAUGCAAGUCGAACGAUGAUGCCCAGCUUGCUGGGCGGAUUAGUGGCGAACGGGUGAGUAAUACGUGAGUAACCUGCCCUUGACUCUGGGAUAAGCCUGGGAAACUGGGUCUAAUACUGGAUACUACCUCUUACCGCAUGGUGGGUGGUGGAAAGGGUUUUACUGGUUUUGGAUGGGCUCACGGCCUAUCAGCUUGUUGGUGGGGUAAUGGCUCACCAAGGCGACGACGGGUAGCCGGCCUGAGAGGGUGACCGGCCACACUGGGACUGAGACACGGCCCAGACUCCUACGGGAGGCAGCAGUGGGGAAUAUUGCACAAUGGGCGGAAGCCUGAUGCAGCGACGCCGCGUGAGGGAUGACGGCCUUCGGGUUGUAAACCUCUUUCAGUAGGGAAGAAGCGAGAGUGACGGUACCUGCAGAAGAAGCGCCGGCUAACUACGUGCCAGCAGCCGCGGUAAUACGUAGGGCGCAAGCGUUGUCCGGAAUUAUUGGGCGUAAAGAGCUCGUAGGCGGUUUGUCGCGUCUGCUGUGAAAGCCCGGGGCUCAACCCCGGGUCUGCAGUGGGUACGGGCAGACUAGAGUGCAGUAGGGGAGACUGGAAUUCCUGGUGUAGCGGUGAAAUGCGCAGAUAUCAGGAGGAACACCGAUGGCGAAGGCAGGUCUCUGGGCUGUUACUGACGCUGAGGAGCGAAAGCAUGGGGAGCGAACAGGAUUAGAUACCCUGGUAGUCCAUGCCGUAAACGUUGGGCACUAGGUGUGGGGGACAUUCCACGUUUUCCGCGCCGUAGCUAACGCAUUAAGUGCCCCGCCUGGGGAGUACGGCCGCAAGGCUAAAACUCAAAGGAAUUGACGGGGGCCCGCACAAGCGGCGGAGCAUGCGGAUUAAUUCGAUGCAACGCGAAGAACCUUACCAAGGCUUGACAUUCACCGGACCGCCCCAGAGAUGGGGUUUCCCUUCGGGGCUGGUGGACAGGUGGUGCAUGGUUGUCGUCAGCUCGUGUCGUGAGAUGUUGGGUUAAGUCCCGCAACGAGCGCAACCCUCGUUCUAUGUUGCCAGCACGUGAUGGUGGGGACUCAUAGGAGACUGCCGGGGUCAACUCGGAGGAAGGUGGGGAUGACGUCAAAUCAUCAUGCCCCUUAUGUCUUGGGCUUCACGCAUGCUACAAUGGCCGGUACAAAGGGUUGCGAUACUGUGAGGUGGAGCUAAUCCCAAAAAGCCGGUCUCAGUUCGGAUUGAGGUCUGCAACUCGACCUCAUGAAGUCGGAGUCGCUAGUAAUCGCAGAUCAUCAACGCUGCGGUGAAUAC